AAUACGUUCCCGGCUUGUACACACCGCCCGUCACACCACGAAAGUCGGCAACACCCGAAGCCGGUGGCCCAACCGUAAGGAGGGAGCCGUCGAAGGUGGGGUCGGUGAUUGGGGUG
rnacentral:rRNA from 1 species